CUGGAUGCCUGCCUGCUGGGGGCUGGGGUGGCGAGCUGAGGAGGGCAGGGCCAGCCCCACUGGGCCGGGCCAGCCCCGGCCACCCACUUUUAAGGAGAUGGGCAAGGAUAACAGACUCCUGAAGUCUGAUGGAGCUGGACCUCCUCCCCCUUCUGCAGGAGAGUGGUGCUUCGUGGCCGAGGGGGCAGCAUCCAGUCGACCGUGAUUGCCCUGGGAAAACAGCUAAGCAGUGGUUGGAUGGGAGACAACCAGGAAACGCCACAGCUGCAGAAAGAGGCUUCCACAGCUAGGGAUGGUAGACAUUAUAGUUCAAAACAGCGGGGUAGACUGGAAACGUCUGAUGGAAUGCGCCAGCUUAUCCAUGUUCCAUGAGCAUCUUUAGAAUUGCCAAGGCUGAAUGCAAGACAUUCAGCACCCAAAACAGGUUCUGUUGACCCCUAAAAUUAGUCAUUUCUUCCCAGAAAUCAGCAUGGUCAGUGAUGGGAACUGUUGUUUAUUAACAUCUGGAGAAAAAAAAGAACAAAUUGAACUUAAAAAAAUAAGCUUUUAACUCAGUGCAUAAAAUUGUUGCACCCCUGAAAUUCCAUCUCACACCCCCUGGGGGUGCAGGCACCCCAGGUUGGGAACCUCUGCUUUAAAUGAUACUCUAUUGUAUACAAAUUUAAAAGCGAGGAUUACAAAGGUACCUGUUCUGAUUUUAAGGAUUUUCCUGGGCCUGUUUGCUUUUCUCCUCUUCUACCUCUUAUAAUUUUGUGGUUUCAAUCAUUUUAACUGUAUGUACCUUGAUUUUCAUAUUUAUGCACUGUUUCAACUCAGUUUUCUGGAUACAGCUUUCUUUUCCCCAGAAUCUCAAAACAGCAAAAUGGAAAUGAAUAGAAAUAAUCAGUGAUGCCACCAGUGAUGUUAGCUUUGGGUGUGCAUAUGCUUGGACUGUACUCGGGCUCCAUCAGAGAGUCUCCAUGUGAUCACCCAGAGCUCAACUUGCUGGAGGAAGCUGAAUAUUAUCAUUAACUAAUGAUACCAUACAUUUUUCUUUAACAUGUCUCCAGCAGGUGGGGCUCUGUGAUCAACAGUGAGUAUUGACUGGCACAAUUUUGGAAGAAAAGUGACCUAAAGUUAAACUCAUGUUUCUGGGAACAUGAGAGUCCACACAGACAGCUUCCCACCUCAAUUUGAUGUGUGCUUGCUCCGUUCUCAGGCGGGGAAUUAGAACAUGGCCAAAUAAAAUGUAUAAAACUUAAGUUUUUUUUUCUCCUGUGUUGCAUUCUCUUGCAGAAUGAAUGUCAUUCUGCUAGAUAAGCAUUGUUAGAUGCCACAGAGAAGUCACUGUUUUCCAUCCAGUAAUGUGUGCUGAAAAUUUUUUCCAUGCUCGCUGACUGAUAUAGAUAUAUGACAAGGCUUUUGGUAACGUUCUGGAAAAUGUGCAAGUGGUCUUUGGGCUCUUUGUACAAACUUUGUGUCUUUUUUCCGUGCCCAAACUAAUACUUAAAAACCUCAUCUGGAACAGAAGUGGGGGGGGGC